AAGUUUCUGGGCAGUUUACUUACAGAACUGCAAGUGGCAUCAUGGCGGCAUACGAGCAGCUUCAAAAGGGGCCCCUGAAACUAAAAGGCGUUGCAGAGCUCGGCGUUACCAAGCGGAAGAAGAAAAAGAAGGACAAAGACAAGGCGAAACUCCUGGAAGCGAUGGGAACGAGCAAAAAGAACGAGGAGGAGAAGCGGCGCGGCCUGGACAAGCGAACCCCGGCCCAGGCGGCCUUCGAGAAGAUGCAGGAGAAGCGGCAAAUGGAAAGGAUCCUGAAGAAAGCUUCCAAAACCCACAAGCAGAGAGUGGAGGACUUCAACAGACACCUGGACACCCUCACGGAGCACUCUGACAUUCCCAAAGUCAGCUGGACAAAGUAGCCUCCCCACCCAAGGUAUGGAGUGGCAUCAAGGGGAAGUGGAAGGCAAAGUUGGGGUUAUGUUUCGUGCCUUUGGUAUUUUCUAGAAACAUUCUUUUACACACACUCUUGCGUCUUCUGCUGAGACAAGUGCUUUCCAAAGCAGUGUGCCCUCUUUCUGGAACUUGAUUAAAGUAAGACUGUCUGUUUAAAAAAAAAAAAAA